GAUGAACGCUAGCGGCAGGCUUAACACAUGCAAGUCGAGCGGGGUUGAAGCGAGGGGUAACUCGAACUUCUACCUAGCGGCGGACGGGUGAGUAACGCGUGGGCAACCUGCCUCAAGGUCUGGGAUAACAGCUCGAAAGGGCUGCUAAUACCGGAUAUGCCUAUAGCCUCGCAUGGGGCUAUGAGCAAAGGGGAAACCCGCCUUGAGAUGGGCCCGCGUCCCAUCAGCUAGUUGGUGAGGUGAAGGCUCACCAAGGCGACGACGGGUAGCCGGCCUGAGAGGGUGACCGGCCACACUGGGACUGAGACACGGCCCAGACUCCUACGGGGGGCAGCAGUGGGGAAUCUUGCACAAUGGGCGAAAGCCUGAUGCAGCGACGCCGCGUGAGCGAAGAAGGCCUUCGGGUUGUAAAGCUCUGUCUGGUAGGGACGGAAGAAAGUGACGGUACCUCCGGGAGGAAGCCGACGGCUAACUACGUGCCAGCAGCCGCGGUAAACGUAGUCU
rnacentral:rRNA from 1 species